rnacentral:rRNA from 1 species
ACUCCUGCGGGAGGCAGCAGUAGGGAAUCUUCGGCAAUGGGGGCAACCCUGACCGAGCAACGCCGCGUGAGUGAAGAAGGUUUUCGGAUCGUAAAGCUCUGUUGUAAGUCAAGAACGAGUGUGAGAGUGGAAAGUUCACACUGUGACGGUAGCUUACCAGAAAGGGACGGCUAACUACGUGCCAGCAGCCGCGGUAAUACGUAGGUCCCGAGCGUUGUCCGGAUUUAUUGGGCGUAAAGCGAGCGCAGGCGGUUUGAUAAGUCUGAAGUUAAAGGCUGUGGCUCAACCAUAGUUCGCUUUGGAAACUGUCAAACUUGAGUGCAGAAGGGGAGAGUGGAAUUCCAGGUGUAGCGGUGAAAUGCGUAGAUAUAUGGAGGAACACCGGUGGCGAAAGCGGCUCUCUGGUCUGUAACUGACGCUGAGGCUCGAAAGCGUGGGGAGCGAACAGGAUUAGAAACCCGAGUAGUCCCAUGA